rnacentral:rRNA from 1 species
UACGUAGGCAGCAAGCGUUGUUCGGAAUUACUGGGCGUAAAGAGUGUGUAGGCGGUGCUCCAAGUCUGGUGUGAAAUCUCCCGGCUUAACUGGGAGGGUGCAUUAGAAACUGGAAUGCUAGAGGAUGGGAGAGGUAAGCGGAAUUCCUGGUGUAGCGGUGAAAUGCGUAGAUAUCAGGAGGAACACCUGUGGUGUAGACAGCUUACUGAACCAUUUCUGACGCUGAGACACGAAAGCGUGGGUAGCAAACAGG